GCUCAGAUUGAACGCUGGCGGCAGGCCUAACACAUGCAAGUCGAGCGGAUGAAGGGAGCUUGCUCCCUGAUUCAGCGGCGGACGGGUGAGUAAUGCCUAGGAAUCUGCCUGGUAGUGGGGGACAACGUUUCGAAAGGAACGCUAAUACCGCAUACGUCCUACGGGAGAAAGCAGGGGACCUUCGGGCCUUGCGCUAUCAGAUGAGCCUAGGUCGGAUUAGCUAGUUGGUGAGGUAAUGGCUCACCAAGGCGACGAUCCGUAACUGGUCUGAGAGGAUGAUCAGUCACACUGGAACUGAGACACGGUCCAGACUCCUACGGGAGGCAGCAGUGGGGAAUAUUGGACAAUGGGCGAAAGCCUGAUCCAGCCAUGCCGCGUGUGUGAAGAAGGUCUUCGGAUUGUAAAGCACUUUAAGUUGGGAGGAAGGGUUGCUGAUUAAUACUCUGCAAUUUUGACGUUACCGACAGAAUAAGCACCGGCUAACUCUGUGCCAGCAGCCGCGGUAAUACAGAGGGUGCAAGCGUUAAUCGGAAUUACUGGGCGUAAAGCGCGCGUAGGUGGUUUGUUAAGUUGGAUGUGAAAGCCCCGGGCUCAACCUGGGAACUGCAUCCAAAACUGGCAAGCUAGAGUAGGGCAGAGGGUGGUGGAAUUUCCUGUGUAGCGGUGAAAUGCGUAGAUAUAGGAAGGAACACCAGUGGCGAAGGCGACCACCUGGGCUCAUACUGA
rnacentral:rRNA from 1 species